rnacentral:rRNA from 1 species
UACAGAGGUCUCAAGCGUUGUUCGGAUUCAUUGGGCGUAAAGGGUGCGUAGGCGGCGCGGUAAGUCGGGUGUGAAAUCUCGGAGCUUAACUUCGAAACUGCAUUCGAUACUGCCGUGCUUGAGGACUGGAGAGGAGACUGGAAUUUACGGUGUAGCGGUGAAAUGCGUAGAUAUUGUAAGGAAGACCAGUGGCGAAGGCGGGUCUCUGGACAGUUCCUGACGCUGAGGCACGAAGGUCAGGGGAGCAAACGGG